AUGGCCUCCUCCUCCUCCCCGUCGCCGGCGACGGCCGCGGCCAGGAAGCGCGCGCUGACGGAGCAGCAGUUCUCGGAGCUCACCCCGGUCCUGUCCCCGGAGGUGGUCGAGGCCCUGGACCGCGGCGGCUUCCGGCGGUGCACGCCGGUGCAGGCGGCGACCAUCCCGCUGCUGCUGACGCACAAGGACGUGGCCGUAGACGCCGCCACCGGCUCCGGCAAGACCCUCGCCUUCGUCGUCCCCGUCGUCGAGAUGCUCCGCCGCCUCCCCUCGCCUCCCAAGCCCCACCAGGUCCUUGCCAUCAUCAUCUCUCCGACGAGAGAAUUGUCGUCGCAGAUAUACAAUGUGGCGCAGCCCUUCUUCGCGACGCUGAAGGGCGUGUCCUCCAUUCUACUGGUUGGUGGGUUGGACAUUCAGGUGGAGCUCAAGAAAGUGGAGGAAGAGGGCGCGAACAUACUGGUGGGCACUCCUGGGAAGCUGUUCGACAUAAUGGAGCGCCUGGACACUCUGGAGUACAAGCAUCUCGAGAUUCUGAUCCUGGAUGAGGCUGACAGGCUCUUGGAUAUGGGCUUUCAGAAGCAGGUUACCUCGAUUAUUUCAAAGUUGCCAAAGCUGAGGAGAACUGGCCUUUUCUCGGCUACCCAGACAGAGGCAGUCGAGGAGCUGGCCAAAGCAGGAUUGAGGAAUCCUGUGAGGGUCCAAGUUAAGACAGAGGCGAAGGAUGGUGCUCAGCAAGAUCUUGGUCCAUCCAAGACGCCGCUGGGGCUCCGGUUGGAGUAUAUGAUAUGUGAACCAGCAAAGAAGUCAUCACAGCUUGUUGAUUUCCUUGUGCAAAACACUGGAAAGAAAAUCAUGGUCUACUUUGCAACAUGUGCUUGUGUAGAUUAUUGGUCUGUUGUUCUUCCAAUGCUGAACUUACUUAAAGGUUCUCCAGUGAUAGCUUACCAUGGGAAGAUGAAACAGGGCCCACGUGAAAAAGCUCUGGCAUCAUUUUCUGCUCUUUCAAGUGGCAUUUUAGUCUGCACUGAUGUUGCAGCAAGGGGUCUUGACAUACCACAUGUUGAUCUAAUUGUGCAGUACGAUCCACCUCAAGAUCCCAAUGUGUUCGUACAUCGAGCAGGUCGUACUGCCCGCUAUGAUCAAGAAGGAGAUGCUAUCGUGUUUCUCUUACCGACGGAGGAUGCUUACGUUGAUUUUUUAAAGCUUCGAGGUGUUCCUCUCAUGGAAAGGGAGUGUUCCCCAGAUAUUGUAGAUAUUGUGCCACAGAUUAGAACAGCUGCAUUGGAAGAUCGUAAUAUCAUGGAAAAAGGGCUUCGAGCUUUUGUGUCAUUUGUUCGGUCAUACAAGGAGCAUCACUGCUCGUUCAUUUUCAGGUGGAAAGGGCUUGAAGUUGGAAAGCUGGCCAUGGAGUAUGGAUUACUCCAGAUCCCAUCCAUGCCAGAAGUGAAGCACAAUAAUCUUUCACUAAAGGGAUUUUUUCCACUUGGCAACAUCGAUUUUUCACAAAUCAAGUUCAAGGAUAAAACUCGAGAGAAACAGCGCCAGAAGGCAUUGAAAAGAAAAGCUGAAGAACUAGCAAAUGAGCCGCCAGUCCCAGAGAAGAGGAUACCUCGGGAGAGGCCCGAUAAGCCGAAGCGCAAGCAGACGGGCAAGCAGCGCCAGACAAUCCAGAGCAAGGAGGACAUGGAUGAGCUGACGAACGAGUACCGCCUCCUGAAGAAGCUGAAGCGUGGAGUGAUCGACGAGGACGAGUACGAGAAGCUCACUGGGUUUGGAGGCUCAGACGGUGAAGGCUCGGACGGGGACGCGGCCGGCAGGGGCAAAGGGAAAGAGAGGCGCAGCAAGGAGCAGAAGAAACUCAAGCAGAGAGGAGGAAAGACAGGAGGCAGGAGAUUUGAAGUAAAGAGUAAACUGAAGAGCAAGAGAAGAUGA
rnacentral:rRNA from 1 species